rnacentral:lncRNA from 1 species
CAAGGCUGCAAUAUUCUCCAGCAUUUUCUUGUCUGUUUGGUGCAGACUUCUGACUUCUGAGCAGGCAUUACUUCCUGAAGAUGUUCUGUUAUCCCGCCUCUACUAAUCAGCAAACGUUGAAACAAUUGGAAAUUAGAAAUAUUACAGCAGAGGCUUCUGUGGGGCCCUCUAUAAUCCAACAAACUUUCGUCAUGUCAGAAGUCCGAGGAAAGAUACUUGCACUAAUAUCUUUGUGGACGUUUAAGAUGUUGCAUCUGGAAAACACUGAUAAGAGAAUGAGACCAGUAAAUCACAUACGCAUUAAGGCUCUGCUGUUCCUAUCUCUACGUGGGAGUAACGCACUGAAGAGCUGAAAUUAUGGAAUCCCAAGACAAAAGCCGCCACUUCCAGCCAACCCCAUUGUUACAUAGAGGGGAGAGUGGAAGGGAAAAGUAACCCAGUCAAACAUAAAGGCAAUAAAUAUUCCCCAGGACACAACCAAGAUAGAUUUACUUUAAAAAUUUUGCAACCUGAGUAAAGCCAUUCUUAGUUGUCCUACAUACACAAUGACAUUAGUUACUGUGGCUGUCCUUAGGAAUUGUCACAACCUUAGUGGUUUUAAACAACAAAGAUUUACAUUUAGGUAAUUCUAAUGUUCAAGGAUCCAAAAUGAGUUUCACUAGAGUUAACUCAUAGGGCUGGCAAAGCCCUGUGUUUCAUGAUGGCCAUAAAGAAGACCCUAGUCACUUUAUCUCUGAAGCUUCUAAAAGUGACUCAAAUUCCUUACGCCAAUUCUUUUUCCAUCCUCAAAGCCAGAAGCAUAAAAUCAUGUUGUCUCUCCAACUCUGGUCCUCCUACCCCCCUACAGUAACCCUGUAACAUUGGUUCCCUCUGAAGAAAUCAAAAAUCCCAUCCCAUGACCUUCAACUUAAUUGCAUUUGCAAGCCUCUUUUACCAUGUAAACUAGAAUCUCUGUAGAUAUUGGGAAUUAGCUCAGGAGCAUCUCUGGUUCUUGUCAGAGGAGGAGUGGGACAUAAUCCUCCCACCACAAUUGUGGACUGGCAUUUCCCUUUGAUUAGAGAUGGAUACUUCUUAUUUUUGCAACUGUUAAUUAUGCUACCUCUAAAAUUUAUAUUCUAGACUCUGUGCGUGGUGAUUUUUAGAAGCAUGGAAAUGUUUCACAAAGGUAAGGUAUUUUACUCUAGAAUUUGUCUUACCCUCUGACUAAUAUUAAGUUGAAAGUAGAACUUGUCUAUUCUGUGGCCCAGAAACGACAAGCAAAGAGAAGCAAACAACUACAAAGCAACCCUGUGCCCAACACAGUAAGACCAGCCAGAGCAAGCCCACCUGCAAGAGAUGUAAAAGAGUCUGCAUAUAAACUCAGUGUAAAAUGAAAGGGCAACAUUCUGCCUGCUACACAUCUCAUCUCUCAGGUGAAAUAAAAGAAGUAAUAAAUACCACAUAUGGCAUUUAAAAGUGGAUUCAGUCAAAAGUAUAUGGCUUUAGGAAAUUAUCUUGUCAGGUAGAGGGAAACUAUAAAUUUGAUAUGGACAUGGAUACCCAGGAUACAUCCAAACAGAAGAAAAGUCUUCAGCAGCAGUGUGAAUAGAAGUGUGUUUCUCUUGCUACUCUUGCAAGCAGUUGGAGAGUAUUUACCCUAAACAAAAUCCCUGGUGAUUCCACUUGAUCUUUCGAUCUUUUAAUUUGUAGAGGUUAUAAAUCAGUGUGAGAUGACCAUGCAUAUAAGGACAGUAAUGAUUUACUUCAAACGAGGGUAAGUAGCAGCAAGUUACUGUGAUAGAUGCCUACUGAUGCACACAAAUUACCCCAAAGCAUAAUGGUUUAAUCCAG